rnacentral:rRNA from 1 species
AUUGAACGCUGGCGGCAGGCCUAACACAUGCAAGUCGAGCGGUUGACGGGAGCUUGCUCCCUGAUUCAGCGGCGGACGGGUGAGUAAUGCCUAGGAAUCUGCCUAUUAGUGGGGGACAACGUUUCGAAAGGAACGCUAAUACCGCAUACGUCCUACGGGAGAAAGCAGGGGACCUUCGGGCCUUGCGCUAAUAGAUGAGCCUAGGUCGGAUUAGCUUGUUGGUGAGGUAAUGGCUCACCAAGGCGACGAUCCGUAACUGGUCUGAGAGGAUGAUCAGUCACACUGGAACUGAGACACGGUCCAGACUCCUACGGGAGGCAGCAGUGGGGAAUAUUGGACAAUGGGCGAAAGCCUGAUCCAGCCAUGCCGCGUGUGUGAAGAAAGUCUUCGGAUUGUAAAGCACUUUAAGUUGGGAGGAAGGGUUGUAGAUUAAUACUCUGCAAUUUUGACGUUACCGACAGAAUAAGCACCGGCUAACUCCGUGCCAGCCGCCGCCGUAA